UACUUAAAUAUCUUAAAUAGAGUAUAGCUCUGAAGAAGCUAAGGUAGAAGUAGUUCUUUUAGGUG
rnacentral:tRNA from 1 species